rnacentral:rRNA from 1 species
CCCUUAGAUGUUCUGGGCCGCACGCGCGCUACACUGACGAAUGCAACGAGCUUAUAACCUUGGCCGAAAGGUCUGGGUAAUCUCCAAAUUUCGUCGUGAUGGGGAUAGAUUAUUGCAAUUAUUAAUCUUCAACGAGGAAUGCCUAGUAAGCGCAAGUCAUCAGCUUGCGUUGAUUACGUCCCUGCCCUUUGUACACACCGCCCGUCGCUCCUACCGAUUGAAUGGUCCGGUGAAGCGUUCGGACCGUGGCCUUUGGACGGUUCGCCGUCUGUUGGCUGCGGGAAGUUCGUUAAACCUUAUCAUUUAGAGGAAGGUGAANUCGUANCA